rnacentral:rRNA from 1 species
GAUGAACGCUGGCGGCGUGCCUAAUACAUGCAAGUCGAGCGAACAGACGAGGAGCUUGCUCCUCUGACGUUAGCGGCGGACGGGUGAGUAACACGUGGAUAACCUACCUAUAAGACUGGGAUAACUUCGGGAAACCGGAGCUAAUACCGGAUAAUAUAUUGAACCGCAUGGUUCAAUAGUGAAAGACGGUUUUGCUGUCACUUAUAGAUGGAUCCGCGCCGCAUUAGCUAGUUGGUAAGGUAACGGCUUACCAAGGCAACGAUGCGUAGCCGACCUGAGAGGGUGAUCAGCCACACUGGAACUGAGACACGGUCCAGACUCCUACGAGGGGCAGCAGUAGGGAGUCUUCCGCAAUGGGCGAAAGCCUGACGGAGCAACGUCGCGUGAUUGAUGAAGGUCUUCGGAUCGUAAAACUCUGUUAUUAGGGAAGAACAAAUGUGUAAGUAACUAUGCGCGUCUUGACGGUACCUAGACAGAAAGCCACGGCUAACUACGUG